UAUUUUUGAUGUCAAAACCUCUUGAACUGCAGUAGGAGCAAAAAUAGUCAGAAUCAGUGGUAUUUGGGAUGAAACUUUUUGAGUGCAGCAUACUUCUUAGUAGCCAGUGGGAUAAUGAUAGCAGAUCAUAUUUUUUCUUAGGAGCAAAAGAGGUCUUCUGGCUUGCGUUAAGAAAUGAGAAGUGAUCAAAUACUGGACCAGAUAAUUACCCAGGAAUGCGAGAGCCCAAGACCCGGGCCUCUGUGGUGAGCACCAUGCGAUGUCCAAGUCCCAGCUCGUGGCCAGACACCUACCCGAUACCAUCCUUGGCUGCUUCGCUUCUGGGCUGCUGUUUGUCUCAGUGCUAGUGCUCCCGAAGGCCUGUUAAAUAUUUCACGCAUAUUUACUUCCUCAUUCUAAAGUUGUUGUGUCAUUGUGUUUUUUGUUUUCUUAUCAUGCUCCUUUAUGUUUUGGGUUGGUUUAAUCCACCAUGAAUCCUUGUUGCGUCCAGACCUAAGGCUCUGGAUUUCCGCAGCUCAGAAACCUGUGACAAAUGCACUGACACCAGUUUUUUUUGACUGAAAUGCAAAGAGAGAAAAAGAAAUUGUGCAAUGAAGCAUCUAAAAUAGACGAAAGGAAGUAUGUUUUACACAAUGCGCUGUUAUCAUGUGUGUUUUUAUUGAUGAGACUCAUUACAGUGAGAUAUUGUUGAAGCCAAGGGUUCAUUAGGAUUUAAGAUGGUUUGAAGUCUCUGCGGGUAAAAAGACCAUCCCCUGUAAUAUUAGGUAGAAUGAAAAAUGAUGAGAUGCAAGCCCUUUUGCUACAAAGUAUAAAUUGUCCACAAUUUGAUGAGCAGCUAAGAGGAAAAUGCCAUUUAUAGACAAUUUAUUUAAUCAUUUCCCCCCUUUUUUGUGCAGUAAGGCUCACUUUGGAGAUAUAAUAUUAUCUCCUGAAUUUAUCUCCAGCUUAACUAAUCGUUUGGAUAAUACAUUAUUUUGGUAUAUUUUAUUUCAGGUUAUUCUAUUUUUUUAUCUCCAUUUGUCUCCACUCAUACAUUUCUUUCUGCUCCUCAUCACUGCAGUAGUUGAGUGCGCUUCAAAUAAAAAUGAUAAUCAUAGCAGAGUUUCUAGCAGAGCUCAUGUUUGUUGCUGCUUUUUGUGGAUUUUGGUUUGCUUUUAAGGAGGGCAAGUGAGAAAUAUCAUGGUGAUGUGGAUGCCAGUUCACUUACAUGGUUGUGUUUUCUCCAAAAGGAGGUGCUGGAAUUGGUCUCUGGAAAGAUGUUGAUGUUUUGUUUCCCUGAUCUCCUCUGUAACAGCUUCCACCACGGAGCUGUUAUUAAUGUGUGUUUAAUCCUGUGUUUUUCAGAAACACAACACAAGGGGAUACAGCAAAUGAAGGGGGGUUGCUGCCCAGCUCCCUUGGCCUCCGUGCAUCUUCUGGUCUAACCCAUCUACCUCCGUUCCCCCGCCUUCCCCCCCGCCUUAGCGCUCGUAGACAAGGCAAUAUUGCACCGCUUACCCCCGUUUGGAGACUCCGGGAGAAAGCGCAGGAGCUGCCUGUUCAGAAUCGCUUGUUGUCUGCAGGUUGUUUUCAGAGUACAUUAAAACAGCUCCAUCUGCUUGCUGCAGUAAAAGUCCCCGGGUUGCCCGUAUGCCAGCCGUCAGGCCCUGCUAAUCUGGGAUCAAUGUGCUGCUGCUCGUCGGGUAUCUCAGCGUAUGCUCAGGCAGAGCACACCGGGAGAGGCGGCAGUGACUGAUGCGGAUGGAAAGAGAGAGAUGCUGCUAUUCGGGUGCUGAACUUGGCCUGCGGAAAGAAGAAAAGGAAAACAUAUUCUGUUUGCAGGGGAGGGCGGUUUGCACCUGAGCGUGAUGUCUUGCAGGAUCAUGCUCAUAUCUUCAUCAUUUCUUCCUAAUGAGUGUGCUCACGUGGGCAAAGUAUUUGGACUGAAAUCAGGAUUUUUUUCCUCUGUGAAAGUUCAAAAAAAACACUGUCCUGUAAAUCAGGUCUAGAGCACUCUGCUUGAAGUUUUGGUUCAUUUUCAGGUCUCUCCUGAUACAACAUAACGCCCCUAGGCACAGGGAAUUCCCACCCAGAGACGGAGAGCAUUUCUGUGUCCGUCUGGAGCACGCGUGGGUAUAUACCUGCGUUUGCAUUCUGCCUGGCAGCAAGUCUGUCCUUCCUCACCUAGAGCCUGGACACAUCUCAGAAUGAUAUUUGUGCAAAUUCAGAUGGUUUGCCCCUGGAAACAAUGUCGAAUAUACAAGUUGAGUUUGGGGAAAAGAUAAGCAUGUGUUCAGGAGACCAACUCCCGUUCACAUUACUCAUGAAGUUCAAUGAGUCACUAUUCAGCGAAAGCAAGCAAAGUGCUGAGGAUGACACUGUUCUGGGACCCAGCAAAACACACUGAUGAAAGGAUGUAAGCGGUCAUUGGCAAAGCAGAAUUUCCCCAGAGGCUGGUGACCAUUUCUCUUGGAUGGAUAUACACUGGACAGGUACGAUUAACUAAGCAUUAAAAUCUGAAGCUAGAACAAGGAUUCCUCUUUCAGAUCCUCUGCAAAAAGCAAACAUCAAGG